GGAGCGGAAGGGACUUGUGCCGAAUUGAUUCUUAUCUCCUUGUACAAAGCUCAAGUCUAAGUGGAUCAAGGAACUCCACAUUAAACCAGAGACACUGAAACUAGAGAAGAAAGUGGGGAAAACCCUUGAAGAUAUAGGCACAGAUGGAAAAUUCCUGAAUAGAACAGCAAUGGUUUGUGCUGUAAGAUCGAGAAUUAACAAAUGGGACCUCAUAAAAUUGCAAAGCUUCUGUAAGGCAAAAGACACUGUCAAUAUGACAAAAAAGGCCACCAACAGUUUGGGAAAGGAUCUUUACCUAUCCUAAAUCAGAUAGGGGACUAAUAUCCAACAUAUAUAAAGAACUCAAGAAGGUGGACUAAUCAAACAACCCCAUUAAAAAAUGGGGCUCAGAACUGAACAAAGAAUUCUCACCUGAGGAAUACCGAAUGGCAGAGAAGCACCUGAAAAAAUGUUCAACAUCCUUAAUCAUCAGGGAAAUGCAAAUCAAAACAACCUUGAGAUUCCACCUCACACCACUCAGAAUGGCUAAGAUCAAAAAUUCAGGUGACAGCAGAUACUGGUGAGGAUGUGGAGAAAGAGGAACAUUCCUCCAUUGUUGGUGGGAUUGCAAGCUCGUAAAACCACUCUGGAAAUCAGUUUGGAGGUUCCUCAGAAAAUUGGACAUAGUUCUACUUGGAGAUCCAGCAAUACCUCUCCUGGGCAUAUACCCAAAAGAUGUUCCAACUUGUAAUAAGGAUACAUGUUCCACUAUGUUCAUAGAGGCCUUAUUUAUAAUAGCCAGAAGCUGGAAACAACCCAGAUGUCCCUCAACAGAGGAAUGGAUACACAAAAUGUGGUACAUUUACACAAUGGAGUACUACUUAGCUAUUAAAAGCAAUGAAUUUAUGAAAUUCUAGGCAAAUGAAUGGAUAUGGAGGAUAUCAUCCUGAGGGAGGUAACCCAAUCACAAAAGAACACACAUGAUAUGUACUCACCGAUAAGUGGAUAUUAGCCCAGAAACUUAGAAUACCCAAGAUAAAAUUUGCAAAACACAUGAAACUCAAGAAGAAGGAAGACGAACGUGUGCAUACUUCGUUCCUUCUUAGAAUGGGGAACAACCAUCCAGAGACUGCCCCACGUGGGGAUCCAUCCCAUAAACAACCACUAAACCCAGACACUAGGCAGAUGCCAACAAGAGCCUGCUGACAGGAGCCUGAUAUAGCUGUCUCCUGUGAGGGUCUGCCAGUGCCUGGCAAAUACAGAAGUGGAUGUUCACGGUCAUUCAUUGGACGGAGCACAAGGUCCCCAAUGAAGGAGCCAGAGAAAGUACCCAGGGAGCUGAAGGGGUCUAAAGCCCCAUAGGAGGAACAUCAAUAUGAACUAACCAGCACCCCUAGAGAUCCUUGGAACUAACCACCAAUCAAAGAAAACACAUGUUGCUUCUCUCUCUCUCUCUCUCUCUCUCUCUCUCUCUCUCUCUCUCUCUCUCCUUCUCUCUCCCACUCUUCUCUUUUCUUUCCUUCCUCUCUCCCUCCCCUCUUGUGCUUGCAGAUCAGAUGUGAAUUUUUAGCUCUGCCCCAGAACCAUGCUUAUCUGCCUGCCACCAUGCUUCCCACCAUGAUGGUCAUGGACUGCAGUCUUCUGGAACUGUGAACCCCCAAUUAAAUGCUUUCUUUUAUAAAUUGACUUGGUCAUGAUGCUUUGUAACAGCAAUAGAACAGUGACUAAUCACUGGACCCCUAGAGUCUUUCUUAAAAGAUUUCAAUCUUACAGCCAGAUCAAGUUAGACUAACAAUCUAGCAGGGUCCCAGGAGACCCUCUGUUUCUUGACUUCUGCAUUCCCAUGUUCCCGCUUUAGAGGGCUUUUCCCGACUUCUUAUCUACAACAUGCCCUGGCCAAUGACACUUCCCAUUGCUUUGUGUUUAUUCAUUUGUUACAACUACUCAUUACCAAGCACAAGCAUUAUUAUUUUUUCUUAUUUGCUUGCUGCCCAUCUCCCAUACACAUUAUAUUAAAGUCAAAAACGUAUGUUUUUAACUGCUAAAACAAUUCUUAAAAUAGCCCCGGCAUGGAAUAAUUAGCUAAAACCAAUUGUCCAUUCAUGCAACAAAUGUUUAUUGCAUACAUACUUCAUGUAGGUCUCUUAGAGAUGAUCUUGUCUCAGAAUAGGAGAAAGGUCUCAUUUUGAAGGCCAAACACAAUUGAUAGCAGGUAACUGUGGCUCUGUAUUAAAAAGCAUUCUCAGAGAUCUGAGAAUCCAAACUGCGUGUGGAAAAAUGAUUACCAAUGUCAGCCAUGAGCGGACAAAGAAAGCAGACACAUCUAGGGCUCCUGGUUUUAUAUCAAAGGAAAUUGAGCUCCAGAAUGAGAUGGGGUACCUGGAGUUCAGACAGCAUAGGAAUCCCCAUCAUUCUGCCCGUGCCUUUUGUGGACGGAAGGCCAUUAACAGGAGACCAGAGAAAUGGAGCCUAUUCCCAAUUAAGGAAUGCUCACAAGUGUGUUCCAGGAAUCUCUAACUGCUAAUCUUGGACAGUUGCAUACCACAGAGCCAAGUGCCCUAUGACCAAAAGCUUUGACCAGGAUGGAACCUUAAUCAGCCAAGGCUGCCCGUACUUUCAUGGCCAUGAUUUGCACAGACUUUAUUUGCAUGCCAGAGUUAGAGAGCUGGAAAUUAUGUGUGCAGCCACUCAUGCUAACACCUCAGACUGUACACCAGCCAGGCUGGGCUGUAUUCCUUUGCAUGCUAGGAAACUGCACACAAGUCCUAACCAAAAGUGUUCCUCUAAAAUGGAGACAUUGCCCUUUAAUACCAUAUAUAGGUAGGAAUAUAAUUGAUCUUCAGACUGCUGUCCUUUUGCAAUAUACCAAAUAAGCUAUUUCCCCUAUUCUAGAGUAGAUGGUAAAUGCACUUACUGCCUGUGUCUGUCCGACCCUUCCCUGCUAUCAUAGAGUGUACAUCCUGUUGACAAUACUGUUCAGUCUCUCUUUAUUAGACCGGAACUAGAGGCCACCUCUGCAUGUCUUCCUCUACCCUGAUUAGUCUUCAGGCUCUUACCCGUUACUGGACCUUUGAGGGGGUUAAAAGGAUGUAGAAGUCCCUGGCCCUGAACCAAGACUGGAACCCAAUUCUGUCUGAACUCACAAGCCAGUUAUUUUUAAAAACCCAAAGAGAAAAGGAAGGAAAAAAAAAAAAAAACCCUGACUGUUGCAGUCACUGUACCAGCCAGCUGAGAGAAUAGAGAUUUGAAAGGAACAAAGGGUUUCCUCAAACAUGCAGAUCAAGGGCUUGGCUUAGGUGGAAACCAGUAACCUACCACUGUGUGCUUUAUGACAGAGCCCUCUGAGGCAGCAGCCUCCUGGGUCUUGCCUCAUUCCUGGCAGGGGGGAUGGGGAAGCUAGGGGCAUUCUCCUUCCAUGCUCUGAGGUCAAUAGAUCUGGGCUCUAAGAACUGCAAAGUUCCUGUCACUAUGGCACAAGCAACUCCAAGCCAACCUUAAGGAAGAGUCCCAGUGUCUGCCUGUUCACUCUCUCUUUAUUAGACCUGGGGCUAGAACAUGAAUGCUCACUCUCAUGUCCUUCCUCUUACCAUCCCUUCCCUUUCACCCCUGACAUUGCCUCUUGACUUAGGACAACCUUCAGAGCCUGGAAACAGGUGAGCUCUGGGGCUAAGAUGGAAGGAAAAGGAAGAAGGAAUCACUGACAUUCUUGGACACAGGACCAAGCUUGAUUCUGUCCCUCUGGAGUAUCUC
rnacentral:lncRNA from 1 species